ensembl:lncRNA
CCUGAAACAAGAGUCAUCUCUGAAAUAAGUGUCACCCCUGAAACAAGCAGAACCCUUGAAACAAGUGUAACCCUUAAAACAUUUGUAACAUCACCUUUGAUAAACAUUUCAGAGGUUGAGGAAGUGACUCAAAUUGUAACCGACUCACACAGCUAUGGGGAGAGUUCAGUGACUGUAGCCCCAUUGCCUGAAAUCCCAAUGGAAUCAACUUCCUCUGCCUUCCUCCCAGAGGUCCCUCUGUGGCCUUUAACUGCUAGCUUGCCUUUUCCAACCACUGCUGCUUUCAGCACUGUUCUGUCGCAGACCACCCAGCCAGUGUUUAAUGGUGAGAGUGCUUUGUAUGCCCCCUCUGUAGCUGACAGUUUGUCCUACGUGCAUGCAAGUUCUGUGUCCCCCUAUUCCUUAAGCAGUGUGUUGUCUGAGCCCAUCCCUGACUGGGACAUCCCAUACACUGUUUCCAUGCUGGUGUAUGGUGGUGCCCAGUCUAUUACCCCUUCCCCUUCCUACCCUAACCUAUUCCUCACCGGCUCUGUGUCUUAUUUAGACAUAGAGCCUGUCUCUAGUGGUGAUUGUAUUGAUGAUGAUGGUGAUGAUGAUAUUUUGUCUGGGUCCAUCUCAGCUGACCCCGAGUGUAGAAGUACUCUUCCCCUUCAAACGUUACUAGAAGUGACUGCUUCUGUGGUCUCCAUGCAGCCAAGCUCUGAACAUGACCUCUCUGAGUCCCCCAGUAUUGUCUCCGUGCUGAGCACUCUUGCAUAUCUCCAGCCUUCGGUUCCAGUCUCUAACGACUACUCUCUGAUGACGACAACCCUGGACUCUGACUCUUCUCUCUCAGGUAGCACUGGGGACUCUAGACUGCUGACGGAGUGGGUAGAUUCUUCAAUAGUAGCUCCUACCUUUAGUCAAGACAAUGGUGCAUCUACUGAAAUUUCUCUGCAUGCCUCUUCUAACUUCCUGCCGCCCUCCUCUACUUUGGGACUGUCUUCGUGUAAUAGUGUCUUGGGUGACCCAUCUAGUCCUGUAGAACACCAUUCUUUCCUGUCCACCUCCAGCACCGGUACUCUUCUGUGCAGCGAUGCUGAUUUGGACCUCCACACCGAGGCUCUUUUGUCAUCUCUUUCCAUUUCCACCAUGCCUUCUAGUGACCUCAGCAUUUCUGAUUCAGCCACCAUCAGCAGCGUUGCACAGAGUGCAACUGGACAGUCCCAGGGAGCACCUGCUCCAGUAAGGUCUUCAACUAUUGUGCCACCCUCUACUGCAGAAUUCAUAUUCAUACCUACUCCUGUGGUACCCCCAACUGUUGCGCCAACUUCUGCCCCAGAAUCCAUCACUGUGGUUGCUCCUGUGGUGCCCCCAACCAUUGCACUUUCCUCUGCUCCAGAGUCCAGCUCCAUGCCUACACACUCUGCAGAUG